rfam:Oreochromis niloticus linkage group LG7, whole genome shotgun sequence.
ACUGGGUGUAGAGCUUAGUUGACUGCUGAACAGGGAGUCUUGAAUAUUUGUUCACAGUGGCUAAGUUCGUCACUCAUA